UUGUUGUGUCUUCCUCACUAUGAGAUCUAUCCAACGACACCAAAUUAGUGAUCUGAUUCCUUCAGACCGGACGAGAAAACGCUCACCAAUAUCUCGAGUUGAACUAAUAUAUAUUUCCUCUUUUCCCCUCAAAACACAAGUAGUUUGAGAUGUAAACCACUAAUCCUCAUAAUAGCAACAUUCUUCUACAUAUACUUGUCCCUUGUUUCAUCUCUAUUUCAUUAAAAAUUCUCCUCCUCUGUUUCCUUACCCAAUGAAAUAGAGAUGAACGAUGACGAGUAACGAACAUAACCACAUAGACUUGAUCACCACAAAACCAUAACGUAACGACAACUCCGGUCUCCAUAACGGUGAUGGUGGUGGCUGGGAUUAAGAUGAAUUGCUGCUGGAAAGAGAUAAUUAAGAACGUAAUGGUGAUGAUGAAGACGUAAGUGCUUGCGGUGAAGACGACGGUACACAAAUAUAUACAUUCACGUUAGGUUAGGUUUUGGUUUGGUUGGGCUCAUG